UGACUCUGACUCUGAUGAGGAUGUGCCAGAUAGUGACAAAUGCAUAAUUUGUAAACGUCACUCACCUGCUAUGACAAAGAGGCCCCAUCUUAUCAUUGUUUCAUGGGCACAAUGUAAUAAGUGUCAAGGGUUGGUUCAUUUGUCUUUCUGUACACUUGUGAGAGUAGUAAGAAGUGGUGUCACAAUUAUGUGCCCUCUCUGUUCACAGUGUUAAAGCUAACUAAAUACAUAUACAUGUAAACUGAAUGUAAACAUGUUGACAGAUUGAAUUAUUAACAGUUGUUUGCCCAGUACAGCUUUAUAGUAAUUCUAAACCGAAGUGGACGAAAAGAGGUUGUAAAAUUUUGUAAAGGUAAAAGUAAGGUCAUUGAUGACAGGAAGGAAAAAUAUUUGUACUAUCAGGCACAAUCAUCUAAACAAAAAGGAGCCAACAUGCGUUUGAAGAUAACACAUAUUCUAAUCAUAAUGUUAUUAAUUUCAAGCGAUACUAUGAAAGCAUCUUGUCAACUAUGUAGAGUGUUUCGAGACCGCAAUCAUAGACUACACUGUUUUGACACGAGACGUGUUUCAAAGAAUGGUCAAGGUAGAUGUGGACGUCUCUCUGGCAAUGGUGUGUACAGAUGGUGUGGAUUUAUUGGUAGUAAUUGUCGUUGCAGAUCUAACCAAGUCAUCGGCAAGGAAUUUCUACUGUCCGUGUUGCGAGGUGAUAAUAAAUAUUGAUAAAUAUUUCAGACUUUUGAGGAUAUUACAAUCUAUAACAAAAAUUGCAGUGCACACCUAUUUCUGUCUGAACUAUGAGAGAUAAAAUUUAUGGAAAUUAUUUGAGAAAGAUAUUUGCAUUUAUUUACUGAUGAAGUUAUUAUACAUACAUGUACCUUUGAUUUAGAAUAUAUCAUUGAAUACUAUUGUGAAGUUCAAGGUCAAGACAAAUAAGUAUGAUGUAUUAUAUUCGCCGAGGAAUUAUCUUUAAAUAUUAGAAUUUAUUUUGAGAUAUAUAGAUAAUUGAUUUUAUGCGUAAUGGAAGGAAACAAAGAAAUAUCGAACGACGAACAGUUUUAAAGAAGAAACAAAGGCAACAAGAAGUAAA
rnacentral:lncRNA from 1 species